rnacentral:rRNA from 1 species
AAUCAACGCUGGCGGCGUGCCUCAGACAUGCAAGUCGAACGCGAAAUUUCCCUUCGGGGAGAAAGUAGAGUGGCGCACGGGUGAGUAACACGUAGGUAAUUUGCCUUUGGGUGGGGAAUAACUCAGGGAAACUUGAGCUAAUACCGCAUAAUGCAGCGGCUCGACAUCGAGACAGUUGUUAAAGCGGGGGAUCGCAAGACCUCGCGCCUAAAGAGAAGCCUGCGGCAGAUUAGCUAGUUGGUAGGGUAAUGGCCUACCAAGGCAACGAUCUGUAACCGGCCUGAGAGGGCGGUCGGUCACACUGACACUGACAUACGGGUCAGACUCCUACGGGAGGCAGCAGUCGGGAAUUUUGGGCAAUGGGCGAAAGCCUGACCCAGCAACGCCGCGUGAAGGAUGAAGUAUUUCGGUAUGUAAACUUCGAAAGAAUGGGAAGAAUAAAUGACGGUACCAUUUAUAAGGUCCGGCUAACUACGUGCCAGCAGCCGCUGUAAC